rnacentral:lncRNA from 1 species
UUGUCAAUGUUUUACUCUAAAAGCUUUCUACGUCAGUUUUGAAAAGGAAGCAAUAAAGCCCAUUCAAUGGUAUGAAUAAAAAUCCUUUGAGGGUUAGGAGCGGAGCGUCUUUUCUUCAGCUGGUAAUCAAAUUGGAGCUGAAAUGAAAUUGAGUUUUCUUAUGAAAAUAGCCUUUGUUGCUGGGAAGGCUGGUAAUUCAUAAACAAUAACCUGCUCUUUUGUGUGGAUAAUAAUAUAUUCAUGUUCUUUCAAUAGGGUAAAAGCCAGACCUAGUGCAUUAUGGUACAGUAGCAGCAGCAGAAGGAGCGGCGGGGGCCGGCCGGGAGGAGACGCGGCGCGCGGGCCCGGCUCUCGGAAGCCUCCAGAAGCGGCCCUCCGCUCCGUUUGCUCGUUCGUCUGUUGCCGCUGCGCAGCAUCUGGCUCCUGUGGCCGGGCUCCAGCUGUGCCCAUCGCCACCACGGCUGCGGCAGCCGGGAGACCCUGCCUGCCGCCCCCGACGCCCGAGCUGCUCCGAGCCGCCUCACGGCCCCACGAGGAUCGGGACCGGACCAGACAGCAGCUGGACGUCCGCGCGGGAGAACGUCUCUCGUCCUAAUCCGCUUCCGGACGCGUGACGCCCAGGCCGGACCCCAGGGCAGCCCCAGGCCGUCAGCUUCCUUGGGGCGCUGUGCCGUCCGCGGCCUCGGGCGGCCCCAGCCCAGGCGCUCAGCCCCUGCACGGCCGGGCUUUCGGGACGUGCGGGCCCUCCUUCAACCUCCAGAGAGGCAGACGGCGCUUGUCCGGUGUCUGCUCCUGCCGCCAUCAGGGAUCCUGGUUCCUUCUUCCAGGGAGCCGGGUUCUGUGAGCGAGGAUGCUCCAAAAAAUGGUCUGUGCCGUGAGGAGGGACGGGUGCUCCCUGACGAGCACCCGAGGAAGGGGGGUGGCGCCACCUUGUGAAUUUGGGGCAGGACUCCGCAGCCUAGGAUGCUGG